ensembl:lncRNA
GGAAACAGUAAUACAGAAAGACCAGCCACAUUCAAAAACCAAGGACAAAAACCAAACAGAACAGGAAAACAAGUAACCAAGGCAGAUAUCAGAUCUAGUAUGUAUUUGUUCAACAUGGAGAACUAUCUGGUACUGGUUCUCAUUUGAACCUCAGCAUAUUGCUCUGACAAUUUGAUUUUGCCGGACUGUGUAAGCGGAGCCGACCAAGAAGUGUGAAUGUAUCUUAUUGAGUGAGUGAGUGGGUACCCCAUGUAAAAUAACACAGUGGAUAGAGAAGCGGACCUGCAAACUAUAGGUCUCACGUUUGUAUCUCCUCUCAGUCAAAAC